rnacentral:tRNA from 1 species
GCCCCAGUAGCAAAGCGGCCUACUAUGGCCUUAAUCCAUAGGUCGAAACUGCGCCUGACUUGUAAUCAGGAGAUCGCGAGUUCAAAUCUCGCCUGGGGC